rnacentral:rRNA from 1 species
CCUACGGGAGGCAGCAGUAGGGAAUUUUCGGCAAUGGGGGGAACCCUGACCGAGCAACGCCGCGUGAACGAAGAAGUUAUUCGUAAUGUAAAGUUCUUUUAACAGGGAAGAAAGAGAAAUUUGACGGUACCUGAAGAAUAAGCUCCGGCUAACUACGUGCCAGCAGCCGCGGUAAUACGUGGGGAGCGAGCGUUAUCCGGAAUUAUUGGGCGGAAAGGGUGCGUAGAUGGCAUAGUAAGUCUGUUGUAAAAAUGCUGGGCUGAACCCAGUAGGGCAAAAGAUACUGGAAAGCUAGAGUAGGAGAGAGGCAGGUGGAACUAGAGGUGUAGCGGUAAAAUGCGUAAAUAUAUGUAAGAACACCGGUGGCGAAGGCGGCUUGCUGGGUCGAUACUGACAUUGAUGCACGAAAGCGUGGGGAGCAAACAGGAUUAGAUACCCUGGUAGUC